rnacentral:misc_RNA from 1 species
GAAAUGCGAUAAGUAAUGUGAAUUGCAGAAUUCAGUGAAUCAUCGAGUCUUUGAACGCACAUUGCGCCCCUUGGUAUUCCGAGGGGCACGCCUGUUCGAGCGUCAUUCAGACCAUCAAGCCCGGCUUGGUAUUGGGUCGCCCGCUGCGGCGGCGGCCCCAAUGACGUUGGCGGCCCGGCCCGGCCCGUAGCAGUGACGACACACCGCGCGCGGACGGCUGGCGCCUGCCGAAUCAAUCGCUUCACAAGGUUGACCUCGGAUCAGGCGGGGAUACCCGCUGAACUUAA